GUUUAUCACUCGAACGUUGACCGAAUGUGAAUGAAACAUUUAACCAUCAUAUUUCAUACAUAUUCGAUCAAUAUUCGAGGGAUAAAAA
rnacentral:pre_miRNA from 1 species